GAUGAACGCUGGCGGCGUGCCUAAUACAUGCAAGUCGAGCGAACGGACGAGAAGCUUGCUUCUCUGCUGUUAGCGGCGGACGGGUGAGUAACACGUGGAUAACCUACCUAUAAGACUGGGAUAACUUCGGGAAACCGUAGCUAAUACCGGAUAAUAUUUUGAACCGCAUGGAUCAAAAGUGAAAGACGGUCUUGCUGUCACUUAUAGAUGGAUCCGCGCUGCAUUAGCUAGUUGGUAAGGUAACGGCUUACCAAGGCAACGAUGCAUAGCCGACCUGAGAGGGUGAUCGGCCACACUGGAACUGAGACACGGUCCAGACUCCUACGGGAGGCAGCAGUAGGGAAUCUUCCGCAAUGGGCGAAAGCCUGACGGAGCAACGCCGCGUGAGUGAUGAAGGUCUUCGGAUCGUAAAACUCUGUUAUUAGGGAAGAACAUAUGUGUAAGUAACUGUGCACAUCUUGACGGUACCUAAUCAGAAAGCCACGGCUAACUACGUG
rnacentral:rRNA from 1 species